rnacentral:tRNA from 1 species
UCCUGGGUGGUCCAGUGGUUAGGACUUGGCACUUUCUCUGCCAAGGGCCCAAGUUGAAACCCUGAUCAGGGAA